rnacentral:lncRNA from 1 species
AUGGUGUGCUGCAGCCGACCUCUAGUGGAAGGACCACAGCUCAGGGAGACACCAAACAAAGGCAGGAAAACUCGAGAAAAUGCACAGAAACCACUAGUGAGAGCUGAGAGAACAAAGAGACCUUUGAAAGUAUCACCUGAUUCUUCUUUAUCCAGUAUUGGCAAGUAUCACUUAUACAUGCGAUGAUCCUAACAGGAAGGAGUUUCAUAUUGGUUUUAUUCUCAAAUGUGUGCAGUGCAGCCAGCAAAAACUCCUGGGUCCUCUCAGCCAGCAGGAGCCGUACCUGGAGAAGCAGCACUACUAUUGUGUGCUCCCUUCUCCAGGCUAUUCCCAGCACUCUAACUCCCUCUGCAUGACAGCAGCCUGAAUAACAUGGGCAUUUGCUUCUGGCACAUGAAAAAGGAGAACACGCUGAAUAAUAAUAAUAAAAAAAAUUCUAAACUGGUAAAUCCGUUGAAUAAUAAUAAUAAAAAAAAAUCUAAACUGGUAAAUACGGGUAUUUAAUUUAAACGCUGAAUAAUAAUAAUAAAAAAAAUUCUAAACUGGUAAAUACGGGUAUUUAAUUUAACUGGGAGUUGUCAGUUGUCACAUAAAUAAAAGCUGCAGAACCAAGUGCACAGUACUAUUCAGAUGAAAGAAGGGUUAUGCUGUGUUACUACAGUGAAAACAGCAUUAUGAUCCCUCCUAUUCUGUCUUUACAGGCCCAGAUUUCAAAAAUUAUAUUAUUUUCUCUGGUUUUAACUUUCAGUUACUUCUUGGCAAGAUCUAACAGGCUUUUUUAAAACCAGUGUGCAUUUUAUCUACCUGCCUGUAAGCCCUUCUUCAGUAGUACCUCCCUUUAUUUUCUGAAACAAGAUGCAUCUUUGGAAUUUCAACAGAACAAUAAGGGAAAAAAUGUUCACAAGCUGGCAUGAUCCAAAAAUUCAUCAGGCUCAACAUGGCUCAGAUGGUUAAUUUUUGAGUAAGCAAGUUUAAUGAUAUGGGAAAAACUAUAUUGAACCAGCAGAAUUUAUUUAAUUAAAAUAUUUUCGUUGGCAAAUUCUUGUCUUCCACCUUUUUUUUUUUUUUUUUUUCAAAGCCUUUAAAAAGUCUUUUUUUUUUUUUUUUGUCAAAGCCUUUAAAAAGUCCAUCUGGAUACUUCUCAAUCCUAUAAACACAUAUUACAAUGCACAGCUAUGCAAUGGAGUUCCUUGACAAGCAUCUUUCACAAUUCUGUCACCUAUACAGUA